UGAAAAAAUUUCAUUCAAGUGCAUGGUGCGAUAGGAAUUGAUUAUUGGAAUUACUUUUCCUUCAUCUCCCUUUAUCUCUCCUCUGUCGUCGUCGUCGGCACAACUGAUUGCCUUCUCCUUCUCUCUCCUCCACUUUCUAUUCUUCCACCGCUCUCUCACUCUUUGUCGUCUAGUUAGGUUCUUCAAUCGCCAAGACGAGAGACCCUAUCGAGAAUCGUAUAUUCCGAAUCAACCGACCUCAGACCGGGCUUCCUGGUUAUUUAUGCACUGUAGGGUUUCGAUCCCUGAUCUGGUCUCUUGUUUUUGGAUUAAAUUUGCUUUAUUUAUAGAGUGAGAGAGAAAUAUAUAUAUAUAUAUAUGUUUGGUGGAGGCGUCGUAUCAUUAUUAUCAUCCAAUUAAACUAUUUAGGGUUUGGAUUUGUAUUGUCUCUCUUGAAUUAAUGAACAGUUUUGCAUAUUAGUAGA